rnacentral:rRNA from 1 species
GCAAGUCGAGCGCGAAAGGCCUUCGGGUUGAGUAGAGCGGCGGACGGGUGAGUAACGCGUAGGAAUCUAUCCAGUAGUGGGGGACAACAUGGGGAAACUCAUGCUAAUACCGCAUACGCCCUACGGGGGAAAGGAGGGGACUCUUCGGAGCCUUCCACUAUCGGAUGAGCCUGCGUGAGAUUAGCUUGUUGGUGAGGUAAGAGCUCACCAAGGCGACGAUCUCUAGCUGGUCUGAGAGGAUGAUC